GCUAUGACAGCACAUUCGGUGUGCACGGACGGUAUCUGCGCCUGUGCGACAGGAUACUGGAACCGAGCUAACAACGAAUGCCGGCCAGGUGUAAGCGCAGGCCAGGCAUGCACCUUCGACCAGGACUGCUCCACGCACCGCUCCAACUUCACGUGCAACUCGGGCGAGUGCUCGGAACGCGUCUGUCCGGGCGUCGUGCAUGGAAGCUAUGAGUACCGGCUGGCUGGAGGUAAUUCCUGUGCGCAAGGCCGAGUCGAACUCAGACCCCUCGGCGGCACUUGGGGCUAUGUCUGUGACGACGAGUGGGAGGAUGUGGACGCGUCAGUUGUCUGCCGAACAUUAGGAUUUAGCGCUGGGAGAGCACACUGCUGCUCCGCGUACGGUGCCGGAGGACCUGAAAACUUCUACAUGGAUGACGUCAGCUGCAGUGGCUCCGAGAGCCACCUGAAGAAUUGUCGCCACAGCACCCGGGAUAACUGCAGCCGAGGAGAGGUGGCGGCGGUCACCUGCAGUGGUCCCCAGCAGAACGCCUGAGCCUGAGGCUACAGACUGAGGACUACAACGGCCAGCCUGGCGUUUGCUCGGAAUCAGCAAAACAUAAGAUGUCUCACACCGAUGUGACAGAAACUGCUGCAUCCGGCAGCGAGCCUGAUAUCGAUCCACAGUUUUAGAGAGUGGUAAUGGCUUUGGCUCACUUCAGCAUCUUUCCAGGCUGCUGGGAGACUCAGAUCGGGUGCAAUGAUAGACAUAUAGAAAAGGCGAAAUACAAGGCUAUCCCCAUCUCA